GAUGAACGCUGGCGGCGUGCCUAAUACAUGCAAGUCGAGCGAAUGGAUUAAGAGCUUGCUCUUAUGAAGUUAGCGGCGGACGGGUGAGUAACACGUGGGUAACCUGCCCAUAAGACUGGGAUAACUCCGGGAAACCGGGGCUAAUACCGGAUAACAUUUUGAACCGCAUGGUUCGAAAUUGAAAGGCGGCUUCGGCUGUCACUUAUGGAUGGACCCGCGUCGCAUUAGCUAGUUGGUGAGGUAACGGCUCACCAAGGCAACGAUGCGUAGCCGACCUGAGAGGGGGAACGGCCACACUGGGACUGAGACACGGCCCAGACUCCUACGGGAGGCAGCAGUAGGGAAUCUUCCGCAAUGGACGAAAGUCUGACGGAGCAACGCCGCGUGAGUGAUGAAGGCUUUCGGGUCGUAAAACUCUGUUGUUAGGGAAGAACAAGUGCUAGUUGAAUAAGCUGGCACCUUGACGGUACCUAACCAGAAAGUCACGGCUAACUACGUGCCAGCCGCCGCCGUAA
rnacentral:rRNA from 1 species